rnacentral:rRNA from 1 species
GAUGAACGUUGGCGGCGUGCCUAAUACAUGCAAGUCGAGCGAACGGACGAGAAGCUUGCUUCUCUGAUGUUAGCGGCGGACGGGUGAGUAACACGCGGAUAACCUACCUAUAAGACUGGGAUAACUUCGGGAAACCGUAGCUAAUACCGGAUAAUAUUUUGAACCGCAUGGUUCAAAAGUGAAAGACGGUCUUGCUGUCACUUAUAGAUGGAUCCGCGCUGCAUUAGCUAGUUGGUAAGGUAACGGCUUACCAAGGCAACGAUGCAUAGCCGACCUGAGAGGGUGAUCGGCCACACUGGAACUGAGACACGGUCCAGACUCCUACGGGAGGCAGCAGUAGGGAAUCUUCCGCAAUGGGCGAAAGCCUGACGGAGCAACGCCGCGUGAGUGAUGAAGGUCUUCGGAUCGUAAAACUCUGUUAUUAGGGAAGAACAUAUGUGUAAGUAACUGUGCACAUCUUGACGGUACCUAAUCAGAAAGCCACGGCUAACUACGUG